CCUACGGGGGGCAGCAGUAGGGAAUAUUGCUCAAUGGGGGAAACCCUGAAGCAGCAACGCCGCGUGGAGGAUGAAGGUUUUCGGUAUGUAAACCCCUUUUGUUAGAGAAGAAAAUGACGGUACCUAACGAAUAAGCACCGGCUAACUCCGUGCCAGCAGCCGCGGUAAUACGGAGGGUGCAAGCGUUAUACGGAAUCACUGGGCGUAAAGAGCGCGUAGGCGGGAUAGCAAGUCAGAUGUGAAAUCCUUUGGCUUAACCAUAGAACUGCAUUUGAAACUGUUAGUCUAGAGUAUGGGAGAGGUAAGUGGAAUUCUUGGUGUAGGGGUGAAAUGCGUAGAGAUCAAGAGGAAUACUCAUUGCGAAGGCGGCCUGCUAGAACAUAACUGACGCUGAUGCACGAAAGCGUGGGGAGCAAACAGGAUUAGAUACCCGUGUAGUC
rnacentral:rRNA from 1 species